GGAGACCAUGGCCAGGUCACCCAUGUUUGAGGGGAAAGAAAACAGCAAGAACUUGGCUCUUGACAGUGCUGCUCUAAGAGAGGACCGGUACUACACAGCUGGCAGAGCCAUUGCUGUAAGCUUGGUACAUGGUGGUCCGCCACCAAACUUCCUCUCGCCAACAAUAUUUUCUCUUCUGGUUGAUGGUUCAGCAAAGCCAGUGCUAGACGACAUAGCUGACAAUGAACUUUUGGAAAAAGUAAAAAAGAUUCUGUGAAGGACUGAAAACGCUUGGGGUUCUGGAGAAAAUCCAAAGGCAUCCAGACAGCUUUCGUCCC